rnacentral:misc_RNA from 1 species
UCACCCCUCAAGCUCCGGCUUGGUGUUGGGCUAGAUUUGUCACAAAAUCGGCCUCAAAGAUAGUGACGGCGUCCCAGAUGGAACCGGUACGAGGAGCUUUUAACCAAGCAUGUACGCGGCGUGAAUCUGUGGGCGGCGGUCUUUAACCACUACUCUUCGGAGUACUUUCUCAG